rnacentral:tRNA from 1 species
AGCUCAGUUGGUAGAGCAACUGACUCUUAAUCAGUGGGUCCCGGGUUCGAAUCCCUGA